AUUGACCGCUGGCGGCAGGCCUAACACAUGCAAGUCGAGCGAGCGGCGGCCGGGUGAGUAAUGUAUGGGGACUGCCCUAUAGCGGGGGAUCCCUACUGGUAACGGUGGCUAAUACCUCAUACUAUCUGAUAACCCAGAUGGGAUUAGCUAGUAGGUGGGUUAACGGCUCACCUAGGCGACGAUCUCUAGCUGGUCUGAGAGGAUGAUCAGCCACACGGGGACUGAGACAGGGCCCAGGCUCCUGCGGAUGCAGCAGUGGGGAAUAUUGCAGAAUGGGCGCAAGCCUGAGGAAGCGAUGCCGCGUGUAGGAAGAAGGCCUUAGGGUUGGAAAGUACUUUUAGCGGUGAGGCGUUACCCGCAGAAGAAGCACCGGCUAACGCCGUGCCAGCAGCCGCGGUAAUUC
rnacentral:rRNA from 1 species